UCCGCCUUAGCUCAGUUGGUUUAGAGCGUUCGACUGUUAAUCGAGAGGUCGUCGGUUCGAUCCCGGCAGGCGGAG
rnacentral:tRNA from 1 species